rnacentral:rRNA from 1 species
AUUGAACGCUGGCGGCAGGCUUAACACAUGCAAGUCGAGCGAGCGGCGGACGGGUGAGUAAUGUCUGGGAAACUGCCUGAUGGAGGGGGAUAACUACUGGAAACGGUAGCUAAUACCGCAUAACAUCAGAUGUGCCCCGAUGGGAUUAGCGAGUAGGUGUGGUAAUGGCUCACCUAGGCGACGGUCCCUAGCUGGUCUGCGAGGAUGACCAGCCACACUGGAACUGAGACCCGGUCAAGACUCCGACGGGAGGCAUCAGUGGGGAAGAUUGCACAAUGGGCGCAAGCCUGAUGCAGCAAUGCCGCGUGGGUGAAGAAGGCCUUCGGGUUGUAAAGCACUUUCAGCGAUGAGGCGUUACUCGCAGAAGAAGCACCGGCUAACUCCGUGCCAGCCGCCGCGGUAAUAC